rnacentral:tRNA from 1 species
AAUAAGGUGCCUGACCAAAGGGCCAUCUUGAUAGGGUGGAUUACGUGAAUACUCACUCUUAUUA